CUCUCUCUCUCUCUCUCUCUCUCUCUCUCGAACUCCCAGGUCUCUCUGCAUCUCCCCAUGAUGACCAGAUCCAUAUCUCUCAAAUUGGAGCAAGAAAUUUAGGCAUGGAUCCCUCUCUCAAUCACGUCUAUCUCUUUCUAUCAAACUCUCAGGUCUCUUCUCUCCUCACCUCAAAUUGCAGCAAGGACUCUUUUAUCCUCACCUCAAAUUGCAUCAAGGACUCUUCUAUCCUCACCUCAAAUUGCAGCAAGGACGUUAGGGCGUGGAUCUCCUGCGCUCAACGAGAUUGGAUUCAAAAAAAAUCUAAGGAUUCAAUUUUAAAUCUAAUCUUCUCACGUAUGCUCUUUGGAUACAUCAUGAAGAUCGGUUUGGGGCAGAACUAAGCCCAUAAGGCUAGCUUAUAAAUUAAGCAUGCAACCUAACAUAGACCAUCUCAAAUCAAGGAGGCUCUAUUCGUUGUCAGCAUCGUCAUUGCUCAGAUUCUCCUAUUAGGUCAAAUUCUUUUGUUUUCAAUUGAAACAAUGGCAUAUGAUAUGCUCGAUGCCAUUAACAAUGGGAAGGAUUCCUGGAAAGCGAAGGUCGGAGUAAUUAGGCUAUGGGACGCCAUUAACCUCAAUAACAAUGAACUAAUUAGCCUUGACAUGAUACUGCUUGAUGAACAGGGCACUAUGAUACAUGCCAAGGUAAUAAAACAUAUUGAUGCGGAGCAUCCUUCCAUCAUCCCCAUGGACUCUACAGCAACACAUCCAACCCCUCAAGGACCCAUGACUCGAGCACGUGCAAGAGCUCUUGAAACCGAGGUGACAUCACUCC